rnacentral:rRNA from 1 species
AACGAACGCUGGCGGCAGGCUUAACACAUGCAAGUCGAACGCCCCGCAAGGGGAGUGGCAGACGGGUGAGUAACGCGUGGGAAUCUACCCAGUUCUACGGAACAACACAGGGAAACUUGUGCUAAUACCGUAUACGCCCUACGGGGGAAAGGUUUAUCGGAAUUGGAUGAGCCCGCGUUGGAUUAGCUAGUUGGUGAGGUAACGGCUCACCAAGGCGACGAUCCAUAGCUGGUCUGAGAGGAUGAUCAGCCACACUGGGACUGAGACACGGCCCAGACUCCUCCGGGAGGCAGCAGUGUGGAAUAUUGGACAAUGGGCGCAAGCCUGAUCCAGCCAUGCCGCGUGAGUGAUGAAGGCCUUAGGGUUGUAAAGCUCUUUCAGUGGGGAAGAUAAUGACGGUACCCACAGAAGAAGCCCCGGCUAACUUCGUGCCAGCAGCCGCAGUAACAC